rnacentral:rRNA from 1 species
UACAGAGGGGGCAAGCGUUAUUCGGAAUUAUUGGGCGUAAAGGGCGCGUAGGCGGCCUGGCAAGUGGAUGGUGAAAUCCCUCGGCUUAACCGAGGAACUGCCAUCCAGACUGCUUGGCUUGAGACCGGGAGAGGUGAGUGGAAUUCCCAGUGUAGCGGUGAAAUGCGUAGAUAUUGGGAGGAACACCAGUGGCGAAGGGCGGCUCACUGGACUGGUACUGACGCUGAGGCGCGAAAGCGUGGGGAGCAAACGGG